CAAAGGAGCUGGGCGGAAACAGCAGAGAAGCGGUGCGGACGGAACUCGUGGGGUUGAAACGCGAAUCCUGGGCGGAGGGAUACGUUUCCAUGGCAACGCGGAGAUCCAAUGCUCUAGACAGGCCUCAUGAAAGGCUGUAAGGUUUAACCGCCGAUGUUGCUGCCGUCGCCGCCUUUCUGCUGGGGGACCUGACCUCGACUGCUACUCAUUGAUCUUUGGGGCUCGUCAGAGGUUCGAGAUUUUGCAAAAGAAAACAUGGGUUUUAAUGAUGCUGUCUGUGGAUGAGAAUAUCUUGAUACUGAACCUCACAGCUCUAAGUCUGCCUCCAUUAUAACAGCAAGAUUUCAGGCCGUGGAAGAAGUGACCCCAGUUAGGAGAUCAGGAGCUACCCUCACUAAGGCCACAUCUCUCUACUUCAGACACUUCACAUCUCUAAAGUAGGGAAACAAAUAUGUCGCUUACUCUGAAUAAAAGAGACGAUAUGGAGCAUGAGUUUACAUCAUUUAGUAAGGGAGAAGAUAAGGAGGACAAGUUUGAAGAUGCCUAUGAAAUUAUCCCUGCAGCAGCAACAAUGGAUCUAGUAUCUUCCUUGGAAGAAUGCACAACGGGAUUGUAUUUAUUUCUAAAUAACAGAUUCUCUGAUGCCAUACAUCUCCUUUAUCCAUGGUCAAAAAACAGCAUAUACCAUGCUCUAAUCUAUAGCAUCCUUAUGGUUGUCAAGGCCUUCUUAACUUUUGAUCCACAGGAUAUAGAGAUUGGGAUGACUGCCACAAAGGAUGCUUUGAGAGUCUGUAACAAUUUCCGAAGAAAAUCUAGGGUGUUAAGUUUUUCUCGUCUAGUUAGCAAGCAGGGAAUAAAGGCUAUUAAAGAAGAGGAAUUGCAUGCAGAAGUCUGCUACGCUGAAUGUUUGAUGUUGAAAUCCACUGUAACAUUUAUACAGGAUGACAGUAUGUUUAGUUUUCUUAAAAGUGGGAUCAACAUUGGGUUAAGUUACCAAAUAUACAAAGACUGUCAACAAGUAUUAACACAGAUACCUGAUUACCAAAGCAAAACCUACAGACACCUGGUUGGAGGCAUAAAAUUUGGACUUGGAGUACUCAACUUGUUAUUAGCACUUGUGCCACCAAGGACACUUAAAAUCCUCAAUGUUGUUGGAUAUUCUGGUGAUAGAGAGGUAGGCUUGACUUUGCUUCAUGAGAGUGCAUCUGAAUCCCAUAUAAAUAAUAUCUUUAGUGUUUUGGUUCUACUGUUUAAUUACAAUUAUCUCUCCAUAGCUUUUGGUGUUGAGAAGAACCAUAGUUCUGCUGUGGAGAAUCUCUUCCUAAUCUACCUUCAGAAAUUUCCAAACUGUGUCAUACUUAAAUUUUUCCAUGCACGUUUUAGUAUGCUGAAAGGAUAUUUUAAACAUGCCCAGUUAACAUUAGAGGAGUGCAUUUUAAUUCAGAACGAAUGGAAGCAGGUUCAACACCUCUGUUACUGGGAACUCAUGUGGUGCCACAUUUUUCUGCUGGAAUGGAAGCAGGCUUACCACUAUGCCCAUGUGCUGUUUCAAAACAGCAGGUGGUCCAAAUCAAUAUAUUCUUUCGCUAAAGCUUCCCUACUGGCUGUGCUUCCUCCUGAUUUUGCGAAAUCAGUAAGUGAGGACAUGAGCUCCCUCUUCCUAAGCGUGGAUAGCCUGAGAAUCAGAAUUUUGGGAACUUCUGUGCCGAUAGAAAAAUUUGUUGCUGAGAAGGGUCAGCGCUAUGCGACAACUGCAGGCUGGUUUACAGCACAGCCCAUUCUGGAAUUCAUGUAUGCCUGGAGUGGCUUCCGAGUCGUAAGCCAAAAACUAGAGCUUAUUUCAACCUGGCUGUCAAUCAUUGACAAAGGGGAAGAACUUUUACAAGAAACUCCAAACAAAGAGUAUGUCAUAGAUGACAUAAGUUUAUUAAAUUUACUGAAAGGUCUGUGUCUGAAAUACUUAGGAAAAUAUUCAAUGGCUGAGUACUACUUUAGUCAUGUCAUUCAAAUGGAGAAAUUGUUAAAAUAUGACCACUAUUUGGUGCCAUAUUCUUACUAUGAACUGGGAAUUCUGUACUAUCUAAAAGGAGAUUAUGCCAGUGCAACAAAAACCCUAGAAAACAUAAAAAAUUACAAAGACUAUUCCAUGGAAGCCAGAUUACAGUUUAGGGCUCACAUAGCCCUUGAACAAAUAGCUAAAGAAAAAGUGAUUUAAACACAAGUGUGGUUCUGUUUUUUUCAUGAGUGAAGUGUCUACUAUCAUCUUGAUAAUUAACAGGUAGAAAAAUAAUUUCUUUAUGGAAGAAAUCCAAGAAGAGGCAACUGCUAAGAGUCUGACUAGUAACAAGGAAGAAAGGAAUUGGCCAUUACUUUUUCCUCUUCCCUCCACCAUACCUAUAAAAUGGAAUGUUUUAGACUGGCAAAUGGAGUGAUGCAUAUUCUUGAAAAAGAGAAGGUCUCCGGACUCUCAGACUUCAAGGUGUGACAAAGCCACGGACUACAAAACAGAGAAUUCUGGGGGAAGGAAGUGACGACAUGGAGCAAAGCACGCUGGGCUCGGGCGGGUUCAGCUCUAGCGAUUCCUUCCUCUCAGCGUGGUUGCGGAGAAUCGAGCGCUGCUAGGAGUUUUAACUGUUUUGGUUAAUAGUGGUGUGGAGUGAGCUCCUUUGUUGGAAGGAGAGCUGAGUUAAAGGGUUGGAGCAUCUGCGGACUAGUCGAAGCCAACGUCAAGGCGGUCUGGAAUUGAGAUUGGGAGAUCUAGCCAGCUGGCAGCCAU